rnacentral:rRNA from 1 species
AAAACGACUCUCGGCAACGGAUAUCUCGGCUCUCGCAUCGAUGAAGAACGUAGCGAAAUGCGAUACUUGGUGUGAAUUGCAGAAUUCCGUGAACCAUCGAGUCUUUGAACGCAAGUUGUGCCCGAAGCCAUUAGGCCGAGGGCACGCCUGCCUGGGCGUCACAC